CAUAGCUCAGUGAUAGAGCACUUGACUAACAUGCAUGAAGCCCUGGGUUCAAUCCUAGUG
rnacentral:tRNA from 1 species